UAGGGAAUCUUCGGCAAUGGGGGCAACCCUGACCGAGCAACGCCGCGUGAGUGAAGAAGGUUUUCGGAUCGUAAAGCUCUGUUGUAAGUCAAGAACGAGUGUGAGAGUGGAAAGUUCACACUGUGACGGUACUUAACCAGAAAGGGACGGCUAACUACGUGCCAGCAGCCGCGGUAAUACGUAGGUCCCGAGCGUUGUCCGGAUUUAUUGGGCGUAAAGCGAGCGCAGGCGGUUAGAUAAGUCUGAAGUGAAAGGCAGUGGCUCAACCAUUGUAGGCUUUGGAAACUGUUUAACUUGAGUGCAGAAGGGGAGAGUGGAAUUCCAUGUGUAGCGGUGAAAUGCGUAGAUAUAUGGAGGAACACCGGUGGCGAAAGCGGCUCUCUGGUCUGUAACUGACGCUGAGGCUCGAAAGCGUGGGGAGCGAACAGGAUUAGAUACCCUGGUAGUCCACGCCGUAAACGAUGAGUGCUAGGUGUUAGGUCCUUUCCGGGACUUAGUGCCGCAGCUAACGCAUUAAGCACUCCGCCUGGGGAGUACGACCGCAAGGUU
rnacentral:rRNA from 1 species